GGGCCCGCACAAGCGGUGGAGCAUGUGGUUUAAUUCGAUGAUACGCGAGGAACCUUACCAGGGCUUAAAUGCAGAACGACCGGGGUGGAAACACCCCUUUCUUCGGACGGUCUGCAAGGUGCUGCAUGGUUGUCGUCAGCUCGUGCUGUGAAGUGUCGGGUUAAGUCCCAUAACGAGCGCAACCCCCUAUUUCUAGUUGCCAGCGGUUCGGCCGGGGACUCUAGAGAAACUGCCAGCGUAAGCUGUGAGGAAGGUGGGGAUGACGUCAAAUCAUCACGGCCCUUACGUCCUGGGCCACACACGUGCUACAAUGGUGGGGACAACGAGUCGCUAACCCGCGAGGGUGAGCCAAUCCCAAAACCCCAUCUCAGUUCGGAUCGGAGUCUGCAACUCGACUCCGUGAAGUUGGAAUCGCUAGUAAUCG
rnacentral:rRNA from 1 species